UACGAAGGGGGCUAGCGUUGUUCGGAAUUAUUGGGCGUAAAGAGCUUGUAGGCGGUUUGUCGCGUCUGCUGUGAAAAUCCGGGGCUCAACCCCGGACUUGCAGUGGGUACGGGCAGACUAGAGUGUGGUAGGGGAGACUGGAAUUCCUGGUGUAGCGGUGAAAUGCGCAGAUAUCAGGAGGAACACCGAUGGCGAAGGCAGGUCUCUGGGCCACUACUGACGCUGAGAAGCGAAAGCAUGGGGAGCGAACAGG
rnacentral:rRNA from 1 species